rnacentral:rRNA from 1 species
UACGAAGGGGGCUAGCGUUGCUCGGAAUCACUGGGCGUAAAGCGCACGUAGGCGGCUUUCUAAGUCAGGGGUGAAAUCCUGGAGCUCAACUCCAGAACUGCCUUUGAUACUGGGAAGCUCGAGUCCGGAAGAGGUAAGUGGAACUCCGAGUGUAGAGGUGAAAUUCGUAGAUAUUCGGAAGAACACCAGUGGCGAAGGCGGCUUACUGGUCCGGUACUGACGCUAAGGCGCGAAAGCGUGGGGAGCGAACAGG